rnacentral:lncRNA from 1 species
UUUACAUCCAACAGUACCUAACCCGUACACGUUGUUGGGAUUGCUGCCAGCUGAGGACAGCUGGUUCACCUGCUUGGACCUGAAAGACGCUUUCUUUCGUAUCAGAUUAGCUCCCGAGAGCCAGAAGCUGUUUGCCUUUCAGUGGGAAGAUCCGGAGUCAGGUAUCACUACUCAGUACACUUGGACCCGGCUUCCCCAAGGGUUCCAGAGCUCCCCCACCAUCUUCAGGGAGGCGUUGGCUACAGACCUCCAGAAGCUUCCCACCAGAGACCUAGGCUGCGUGUUGCUCCAGUACGUUGAUGACCUUUUGCUGAGACACCCCACGGCAGUCAGGUGCGCCAAGGGAACGGAUGCCCUACUCCAGCGCCUGGAGGACUGUGGGUAUAAGGUGUCCAAGAAAAAAGCUGAGAUCUGUCGACAGCAGAGAUCAUGCAGCGGGAGCCCACGAUCGGUUUAAUCAUCACUCACUUCCAUUGGAUCAACUACAAAUCAACUCAGAUGAGAGUGCUGAGUCUCAGAGGAUGGACAUCUCACCCCUUGCCAUACAGAUAAGUAGAAAGGAUGGUAUUCAAAAUUAAUGGCCAGACUCUAAGUCCCAGAUACUAUACUUCAUGGUCUUCCAACUCUCAAAAAGUUGUGGGAGUUUUUUUUUGUUUUUGUUUUUGUUUUUUUGAGACGGAGUCUCAUUCUGUUGCCCAGGCUGGAAGUGCAGUGGAGUGAUCUCAGCUCAUUGCAACCUCCGCAUCCCAGGUUCAAGCUAUUCUCCUGCCUCAGCCUGCUGAGCAGCUGAGAUUACAGGCGCCCGCCACUAUGCCCGACUAAUUUUUUUCUAUUUUUAGUAGAGACGGGGUUUCACCAUGUUGGCCAGGCUGGUCUCGAACACCUGAACUUGUGAUUCGCCUGCCUCAGCCUCCCAAAGUGCUGGGAUUACAGGCGUGAGCCACCGCGCCCAGCUUCAAAAAGUUUAAAGCAGAGCUCAGAGGUCUUAACCACAGGUACAUCUGAGGAGCAUUUUUGAAACAGUUUCCAGCUUCCUCAACAGGAAGAGAAGCCAAAUUCCGAAUUUAUGACUCCUUUGAGGAAGUCGAGAGCUGUAAGGAAAGCCAGGAACAGGGGCAAGGGAGAGAUGCAUCCCGAAUGAUCCUGUGCCAAUUCUUUCUGGAAUCUUUGAUGUGAUCUCAGCUGCCCUUUCUAUACUUGACACAGUGAUUGUGGCACCCACUGGUCUAGCUGUGGUCUACAAGGAACCCCCAAAAGGAAGGGCACAGUGAGCAGGGGCAUCGGCCUGAGUGACAAGGAUUUGAGAGGGCAGGUUGGAUGCAGGGAGAGGACUGGCCAAAUGCCAUGUGUCUGGACUUAGGCUGCCUGGUUCAAACUGGACUUCACCCUUUUUGACUUCAUGAUCUGGUACAAGUUAUAUGAAAAUGCAUUGCUCCUUUUCUAGUCUGUAAAAUAAUAAUGAAAUGUGCACUAAUAACUGGGAGACUACGCAGAGGAAAUGAAACAAGCUGCAUAGACCACAGAGCUCAGAGCCUGGCCUUUAGGAAGCCCUCAGUAAGGGUUCAUGAUGCCAUGGUGUCUGUCAUCAUCCUCUUUAUCCUCAUCAUCACCUUCAUAAUCUUUUUAUUGUUCUUAGAGAAUAGUUUAGAGGGACUCAUUCCCUGCUAUCAUGGGUGAGAUGUCUAUGAAAAGGACAACCAGUGGGGGAGGAAAGCAAAAUUUUGAAUAAGAUUUCUGAGACCGCCCCCCCCCGACCAUAACCAAGAACAGAAACUCCACAGUCUGCUGAGCCGACAGUUUGCACGUUGGUCUCCUCCCAUCUGCCCACCGCACUCUCCUGUUUUUUUCCUGAGGAUGAGGAUACAAAACAAGGCUCCCAACCGUCCCUCAGCACUCACUGAACUGCCCUUCCCCUCUGCUGGGCCAUGACCACGGAGAACAAGUCCACUGUCCUCCCUGCGUGGUGCACGAUGGAGGCUCAGACUCCAUCCUCAAGGCUGGCAAGAAGACAGGGUGAGACAUGAGCCUCCUGAUACAGGUGAUGGGUGUGGAGCCCACAGGACUGGAACCUCACACUGCAGGGCUGGAGGCACAGACUAUUUACUAUUCUAUGGCCUGGGGGGCUCAAGGCACAGAGCUCCUCAUUAGCCAAAGUCGCCCAAGUUCCCCAACCUUUAAGGAUUUCCUCAUAAUAAUGCAAGAAGAAGAAGAGAAAAGUGAGUGUCCAUAGAAGCUUUGGGGCUCUUCCUCUAAUCAGGAGAAAGCUGCAGAAGUUCAUCAGCUAACUUCUUGGGACCUAGCACCAUGUGAAGACGCUCAAGCUAGACUUUAAAAUGAGAGACCCAGAGGAGAGACAGAAGCUCCACUAAAUCCAAAGAACACCUAGACUGAUCAACAACAGAGGAAGCAAGGACAGCAAAGGGCGCUGCAGAGGCCAAGAGGGAAGGUUUUAGAAUGUUUCCCAAAGCAUGAAUGUUGGAAUGGUGGUCCCAUGAGAUGCUCCUCUAAAAAAAGAAGGAGGUGAAAGAAUUAUUUGGCCAAAUCUGCUUUGAAAUCCUCUCCCUUUUAGAUUCAUCCUAAUAUUGGCAUAGGAAUGCCUCUUUAAAGAACUACAAUAAAGAAGCCUGUUUAUCUUUGCUU